rnacentral:hammerhead_ribozyme from 1 species
GUACUGCUGAGGAGUCCCACAACAGGACGAAACGGCCGUCCAGUAC